rnacentral:rRNA from 1 species
AUAGGCUGGGUGUGGAAGUGCAGUAAUGCAUUAAGCUAACCAGUACUAAUUGCCCGUACGGCUUGUCCCUAUAACCUU